rnacentral:rRNA from 1 species
UAGGGGUUCGGAUUUAUGGGCUUCAGAUUGAACGCUGGGCGGUAGGGCUUAACACAUGCAAAGUUCGUGCGGAAAAAGUAUUUUUGGGAUAUGAGUAGAGCGGCGAACGGGUGAGUAACGCGUAGGAAUGUACCUAGUAGAAGAAGAUAGCCCGAGGAAACUCGGAUUAAUACCGUAUACCUCCUUCGAGAGAAAGAGGGCCUCUCUUUGAAGCUUUCGCUACUAGAUCAGCCUGCGUAAGAUUAGCUUGUUGGUGAGGUAAUGGCUCACCAAGGCUACGAUCUUUAGCUGGUCUGAGAGGACGAUCAGCCACAUUGGGACUGAGACACGGCCCAGACUCCUACGGGAGGCAGCGGUAAAGAAUAUUGGACGAUGGGCGCAAGCCUGAUCCAGCCGUACCGCGUGUGUGAAGAAGGCCUUCGGGUUGUAAGCACUUUAAGCGGAAGAAAAAAAUAUAGGUUAAUACCCUAGUUCUUGAUGUUACCUCAGAAUAAGCACCGGCUAAUUCCGUGCCAGCCGCCGCGGUAAUACA